UUUGUUUACAAUAUCAGCAGUGUCUUAUAUUUUAUUAUGUUUAAAUAAUUCACGAUCUACUUUUGAUAUUUGUGUUGUUUCAUUAUUCGUUUGCUUCAAAUUCAUUGAUGAAACUCAUUUACCAUUUUGAUAUUCGUAGUAUCAGUUUCUGAUGAAACAAACAACAUUAAUCUUUCCAGCAUGCUUAUAGAGAUGGUCGUCUAGAAGAAGUGGUACUACGCCAUCUAGAUACUGAAGAUGGAAGCACCGUUAUUGCCAAAGAUAUUAGGCUUUCCGACUUUUUCAAUGGAUUGCAUCUCUAGGAUUAUAUUGCUUGUCUCUAAUAAAAUGAAAUAUUUAUGGCCAAGCAAGGUCAUUUUACUGCCCCGGUCCCUCCCUCUGCGCUGAAAUAGAUGUCAAAAUGCUAUCAGAGAAAACUUUCAAGGUGCAGAUUUGUCUCUGGUUUUGAAGGAGGAUGAUACUAGUAUGAGGAACGUCAUUUUGCUUGGCCUAAAUGUCGGUUGGAAUUUGUGUUUGCACAAGUACGAACAUUAAGUACAAUACAGAAAAGGAAAAGACUUGUAUCAUCGUCAUCAUAUUUGUUUCUGACAGAAUAGUGCAUAUUGAAAAUUUGCCGUUCUGUAAUUACAUUCAACAUUGUUGGCAAUCGGAAUGGCUGUGUUUAGAAAAGGAAGGUCUGAAUGUUACAAAGUUCACAUUGGUCAA